rnacentral:rRNA from 1 species
CUGCUGCCUUCCGUAGGAGUCUGGGCCGUAUCUCAGUCCCAAUGUGGCCGUUCAACCUCUCAGUCCGGCUACUGAUCGUCGACUUGGUAUGCCGUUACCACACCAACUAUCUAAUCAGACGCAAGGCCAUCUUCUAGCGAAUUGCUCCUUUCCCACUAAUAUCAUGUGAUAUCUAUGGCAUAUGCGGUAUUAGCAAUGAUUUCUCAUUGUUAUUCCCCUCUAAAAGGUAGGUUCCUUACGUCG